rnacentral:rRNA from 1 species
AGUCGAACGAGGUGCUUUGCACCUAGUGGCGAACGGGUGAGUAACACGCUAUCUAACCUACCUUUUAGUGGGGGAUAACAGUUGGAAACGACUGCUAAUACCGCAUACGACACCAUUAUGGCAUCAGAAGGUGUUAAAAGGCCCGUUUGGGUCGCUAGAAGAUGGGGCUGCGGCGUAUUAGCUAGUAGGUGGGGUAAUUGCCCACCUAGGCAAUGAUACGUAGCCGAACUGAGAGGUUGAUCGGCCACAUUGGGACUGAGAUACGGCCCAGACUCCUACGGGAGGCAGCAGUAGGGAAUUUUUCACAAUGGACGAAAGUCUGAUGAAGCAAUGCCGCGUGAGUGAUGACGGUCUUCGGAUUGUAAAGCUCUGUUGUAAGGGAAGAAUAGGUAAAAGAGGAAAUGCUUUUAUUUUGACGGUACCUUACCAGAAAGCCACGGCUAACUAUGUGCCAGCAGCCGCGGUAAUACAUAGGUGGCAAGCGUUAUCCGGAUUUAUUGGGCGUACAGGGUGCGUAGGCGGUUCGAUAAGUUUGAGGUAAAUCCCGGGGCUCACCCCGGUUCGCCUUGAAAACUGUUCUUACUAGAAUACAGGAGAGGUAAAUGGGAAUUCCUUGUGUCGCCGUUGAACUGUGUAAAUACAUAGUAG